UACGGAGGGUGCGAGCGUUGUCCGGAAUCACUGGGCGUAAAGGGCGCGUAGGCGGCCUGAUAAGUAGGGGGUGAAAUCCUGCGGCUUAACCGCAGGGCUGCCUUCUAAACUGUCAGGCUAGAGCACAGUAGAGGCAGGUGGAAUACCCGGUGUAGCGGUGGAAUGCGUAGAGAUCGGGAAGAACAUCAGUGGCGAAGGCGGCCUGCUGGGCUGUUGCUGACGCUGAGGCGCGACAGCGUGGGGAGCAAACAGG
rnacentral:rRNA from 1 species